rnacentral:sRNA from 1 species
UUUUAGCCCAGAUUGCAACGGCAUCCUUUACUUGCGUUUAAGCAAGGAAAGAUAAAGUGGAAAGCUGGAAAUAGC